GGGCUCAGGGACCAGAGCGGGAUUAUGGAAAUCAAAACCAAGCUUGCAGUGGAGGGGAGAGGUAUGGGCCACUUUGAGAGGUGCCUCGUGUGGGAGGGGGUCAGAAUGGACCUCACCAUUGAGGGGCCGGGAGAAGAGGCUUCUAGGCAGAAGAGAACAGUGGGUGCCAAGGCCCUGAGGCAGGAAGGUGUUUAGGAGCAGAAAGAAGGAAGCCUGGGGCUUAGCAUGUGCUCAGUACUUGGCCAAGAAGCCUCGGCCCAGGGGCUGGGAGUGUGAGCGCAGGAAAGAGGUUGCUGGACACGGCAGGAGAGAAUGGGAACUGGGCCCUCCAAGGGCAGCCCUUCCAGGAGAUGGGACAUGGAUUCCUUGUUUGUGUUCUCUGCUAUAGCCAAAUAUAUGUGCACGUGUA
rnacentral:lncRNA from 10 species